UUUGUCUCUAACAAGCCUCAUUGCCUUAGACUGAGCAGCUGCAGCCCCUGGAUGGCGGUCUCAUGCGAGCCAGCUACAUCAACUUCAGCUUUCCUUAUUUUAAUACAUGAAGCCUUUAUUUUCGCUCACGAUUAUUUACAAAUGGACGGUUAUCUCACUCGGACGAUUAGCCAAAUGCGAGAGGAGACGCUACAAGAUUCGUGAGUGAAAGAAAGCAUGGAAAGAGAAUGCAGCAGGAAGUCACACUCUACACACGCUGGCAGAAAGGAGGAACAUUAGGUAGCUGCGGUUUUCCUUCCAUUCUCACACUCGCUCUGCACAGCGUCAAGGAACCCACGCUGAUGACGUGUGAUUGUCUGCGCGAACAAGUUGCGUGGCGGUAUGCAAAUAUAGAUUGACAGACAGGAAGGACAUCCUAUCAUUACAUUCGGACCGAAUGCUCAUUUUUUAAUCCUGUCCCUUCCACAGAAGAUAUAUAUAUAUUUUUUUACAUUUAGACCACUUAAAUUAUAUAUUGCUAUCAGGAUGUGAAGAGACUUUCAACCAGUACAACAAAAACAUUUCUGAAAAAGAUUGCACACCCUAGCUUUAUGAGGGCCGUCCAUGCGGGAGACAGUAGAGAUGUGCAGAGGUGAAGGCUGCGCUUCCGUCCUUGAGGGAACCCAUUUAAACAGCACUUUGAAUGUGAAGCUAGACAGCACUGGGAGUCAUCUCACCGACUGGUGCUGUAUGCGAGAGAGGAAGUCCUGAUGGAGAUGGAGGGAGUGAGAAAUAGAGAGAGGACGAGGGAAAGCCCAUAAUGCUGUAAUGCCCGUUAGCGAGAUUUCACGCACUCUCUCUGAUCUGACUCACUGACAGCAGCCUCUAAGAGACUCUAAUGAGAAUGUUUGGUAGGGUUCUGUUUGUGUGUGUGUGUCUGUGUCUAGGUGAGCGCAGUUUCUAUUUGCACCACUCAUAAGCUGUGACAGAAAAUAUUUGAUAAGAUGCAUGCACACAAACACCCACAUAUAUUCCCUUCACACAUUAUUAUUUUCUGACAAAAAUAAAUAAA